rnacentral:lncRNA from 1 species
UCCCUUUUCCCUUUCUGAGCAGCCAAAGAGGUCUUUAUUCUAAUCAAACCCAAGUUCUCCGGUUGACGGACGCGCCUCUGCACUUCCUGUGUGUGCUCUGCCUUCACUUGCUCCCAGGAACGGUGGGAUCCAUGUGGGAUUUAGUCGAGGGAUAUUGCCACUAAGGAUUUAGAAGACAGAAUACAGGAUCUAGAUGAAAUCCAGCCCCGCAGCUAACCUAUUCUGCAACCAGGGCCCAGGCACAUUUUGUGUGUGAACUGACAACCCAAGAGGGGCAUUCCGGUCAGUGCCUGCCUUGUCUCACAGCUGGAUCUCACGACGCACAUCUGGAGCGCAGCCGCAAAACGCUCCUAGGCGGUGUCUGUGCUCACGUGAGAAGUAGACUCAAAUGGAUCAGUACUGUUUCAGCAAAUACUGUGAAGCUUCUGAUAUGGGCCAGGAAUUUUGAAAACGGAGUCUAG